CUACCAAUCCUACAAAUCACCAC
rnacentral:siRNA from 1 species